rnacentral:misc_RNA from 1 species
GUGAAAAACUUUUUGCAAUAGGUAUCAGUCUGAGAGGAGUGUAAGAACCAAAUGGUCGAGAAGAGCUAGCCAUGAAAAUCAGAGGGAAAGUUUAGACAAGGUGAUUAGUUGGAUAUUUUGUAGUCUAGUGAAGUGAUUGGGAAUGAGAUUGAUGUCUCAUUUUAUAUGUUAGACAUUGUACUUAUACUUUGAGAACUAAUUUUUUAGCCUUAAAAGUUACAGUUCUGGGAGACU